rnacentral:rRNA from 1 species
AAUCAACGCUGGCGGCGCGCUUAACACAUGCAAGUCGCACGAGAAAGUCCGCAAGGAUGAGUAAAGUGGCGUACGGGUGAGUAACACGUGGGUAAUCUACCUCUUAGUGGGGAAUAACCUGGGGAAACCCCGGGCUAAUACCGCAUAAGCUCGAGAGAGGAAAGCAGCAAUGCGCUGAGAGAGGAGCCCGCGGCCGAUUAGCUAGUUGGCAGGGUAAAAGCCUACCAAGGCAUAGAUCGGUAGCCGGCCUGAGAGGGCACACGGCCACAC